UACAGAGGUCCCAAGCGUUGUUCGGAUUCACUGGGCGUAAAGGGUGCGUAGGCGGCCGGGUAAGUCUGAUGUGAAAUCUCCGAGCCUAACUCGGAAACUGCAUCGGAUACUAUUUGGCUAGAGGAUUGGAAGGGAGACUGGAAUUCUCGGUGUAGCAGUGAAAUGCGUAGAUAUCGAGAGGAACACCAGUGGCGAAGGCGAGUCUCUGGACAAUUCCUGACGCUGAGGCACGAAAGCCAGGGGAGCAAACGGG
rnacentral:rRNA from 1 species